AUUGAACGCUGGCGGCAUGCCUUACACAUGCAAGUCGAACGGCAGCGCGGGAGCAAUCCUGGCGGCGAGUGGCGAACGGGUGAGUAGUAUAUCGGAACGUGCCCAUUAGUGGGGGAUAGCCCGGCGAAAGCCGGAUUAAUACCGCGUACGACCUGAGGGUGAAAGCGGGGGAUCGCAAGACCUCGCGCUAUUGGAGCGGCCGAUAUCAGAUUAGCUAGUUGGUGGGGUAAAGGCCUACCAAGGCAACGAUCUGUAGUUGGUCUGAGAGGACGACCAGCCACACUGGGACUGAGACACGGCCCAGACUCCUACGGGAGGCAGCAGUGGGGAAUUUUGGACAAUGGGCGCAAGCCUGAUCCAGCAAUGCCGCGUGCAGGAAGAAGGCCUUCGGGUUGUAAACUGCUUUUGUCAGGGAAGAAAUCCUUUGGGCUAAUACCUCGGAGGGAUGACGGUACCUGAAGAAUAAGCACCGGCUAACUACGUGCCAGCAGCCGCCGUAA
rnacentral:rRNA from 1 species